rnacentral:rRNA from 1 species
CAGCCGCCGCGGUAAUACGUAGGUGGCAAGCGUUGUCCGGAAUUAUUGGGCGUAAAGGGCUCGCAGGCGGUUUCUUAAGUCUGAUGUGAAAGCCCCCGGCUCAACCGGGGAGGGUCAUUGGAAACUGGGAGACUUGAGUGCAGAAGAGGAGAGUGGAAUUCCACGUGUAGCGGUGAAAUGCGUAGAGAUGUGGAGGAACACCAGUGGCGAAGGCGACUCUCUGGUCUGUAACUGACGCUGAGGAGCGAAAGCGUGGGGAGCGAACAGGAUUAGAUACCCCGGUAGUCCCUGUCUCUUAUAC